AUUGAACGCUGGCGGCGUGCUUAACACAUGCAAGUCGAACGUGAAGGGCGCAGUAAUGUGCCUGGAAAGUGGCAAACGGGUGAGUAACACGUGGGUGAUCUGCCUCAGAGUGGGGGAUAACGACCCGAAAGGGUCGCUAAUACCGCAUAACAUCCUGCGCUUGGAUGCGUGGAGAUCAAAGUUGGGGAUUCGCAAGAACCUGACGCUUAGAGAGGAGCCCGCGGCCGAUUAGCUAGUUGGUGAGGUAAUGGCUCACCAAGGCUCCGAUCGGUAUCCGGCCUGAGAGGGCGGACGGACACACUGGGACUGAGACACGGCCCAGACUCCUACGGGAGGCAGCAGUGGGGAAUUGUUCGCAAGUGGGCGCAAGCCUGACGACGCAACG
rnacentral:rRNA from 1 species